AGCAACUGGGGUUAGGUGUCUUGCUCAAGGACACCUCGACAAUUGGUCAGGUGGAGCUGGGGAUUGAACCACCAACCUUCCGGUUUGUAGACAACCUACAUGAACCACUGAGCCACUGCCACCACACUAUUGUUAAGUUAACUAGAAACACGAGACGGAACACAUGUUUAACAUAUAAAAACAACACAACUUUACCUCCUGUUCGUUCACCAUACAAAAGUGUCUGGAUAAAACCCAGACCUUAAACAUUUAUUUAUUUUACAGAACAUCUCCCCUCUUAAAUAAAGAAGCACCUUUUUUCCUCCAACUCUAUGCUAAAGCAAUAACUCAACACAUUAUAUUCUCCUUAUUUCAGAACUUUUCCUUUAACUUUUCCAACUUCUUAACCAUUAUUAUAUUUGAUUCCCAUGCCCAAACAAGACUUAACUGGAUAGCAGGAGUUUGCCGUGAAUAUUCACUGAAAAACUGCUUUCUGGGAUUGCAGUAACCGCAGCUCCCGUGUCCAGCUUAAAGGGACACUUCACCCAUUUGCAUUAAGCUUUGUAUAGUUAGAACCAAUGUUCCCUCUAAGCUGCGCGCUGUGCGCGGCCGCGCAGGCCAGCCAAAGUGGCCGCGCAAUAGAUUUGUCAGACCGCGCACAUUUUUCAGACCGCACAUAAACAUUGAUGCAUUUGCUGUUGUAAAAGAAUUAAGAGAGAGAGAAGGCGAGUGUUCUAGAAGGAGAAGAAACUUUCAACCAAUCGCUGAUCUUGCUACGGUGACAGACACUUUUAUGAGCCAAUGGUAGCAGCGCAUUCAGUUCACACAGUGACGCUGCCAGCACGGACGAGCACAGAGUGAGAGCGAGCCAGAUGAGCAGCUGCACGGGUCGAUCUCAAGAAACUAAAAUAUUUAUUAAGAGGAAAAAGUUCAGAUUCAAAACAGUGAUUUAAAACAAAUUAUUGGAUUCCUGAAGUGAUGCGAUAACUUGGAAAAGCUGUCGCUAGAGUGAGGAGAGAGCAAAAUAGAGAAUUAGAACGGAGGCAGAUGCAGAAUCACAGAGCAUCAAAACACUGCGAAUGAACUUCUUCUUUUAAAUAAGAAGUUAAAAUGUAUGCUUUGGCUGGGUUUUUUUGUGAGAAUUUCGAACAUCUGUAAAGUUCUCCUGCUCCAUCUUGGACACGCGAGACAAUUAAGUGAAGGUGUAUACAAAAAGG